CAUGAAGCCGGAAUUGCUAGUAAUGGCAGGUCAGCAUACUGCCGUGAAUACGUUCCCGGGCCUUGUACACACCGCCCGUCACACCAUGAGAGUUGGGGAUACCCAAAGCCCGUGAGCCAACUGUAAAGAGGCAGCGGUCUAAGGUAGAAUCAAUGAUUGGGGUGAAGUCGUAACAAGGUAGC
rnacentral:rRNA from 1 species